rnacentral:rRNA from 1 species
UACGAAGGGGGCUAGCGUUGUUCGGAAUCACUGGGCGUAAAGGGCGCGUAGGCGGCUUUAUAAGUCGGGGGUGAAAGCCUGUGGCUCAACCACAGAAUUGCCUUCGAUACUGUAGAGCUUGAGACCGGAAGAGGUAAGUGGAACUGCGAGUGUAGAGGUGAAAUUCGUAGAUAUUCGCAAGAACACCAGUGGCGGAAGGCGGCUUACUGGUCCGGUUCUGACGCUGAGGCGCGAAAGCGGUGGGGAGCAAACAGG